rnacentral:rRNA from 1 species
UACAUGCAAGUCGAGCGCAUGACGAGGAGCUUGCUCCUCUGAUUGAGCGGCGGACGGGUGAGUAACACGUGGGCAACCUGCCCUGUAGACGGGGAUAACUUCGGGAAACCGGAGCUAAUACCGGAUAAUCCUCUUCCCCACAUGGGGAAGAGUUGAAAGGCGCUUUUGCGUCACUACAGGAUGGGCCCGCGGUGCAUUAGCUAGUUGGUGGGGUAACGGCCUACCAAGGCGACGAUGCAUAGCCGACCUGAGAGGGUGAUCGGCCACAUUGGGACUGAGACACGGCCCAAACUCCUACGGGAGGCAGCAGUAGGGAAUCUUCCACAAUGGACGAAAGUCUGAUGGAGCAACGCCGCGUGAGUGAUGAAGGUUUUCGGAUCGUAAAACUCUGUUGUAAGGGAAGAACCAGUACGUCAGGCAAUGGACGUACCUUGACGGUACCUUAUUAGAAAGCCACGGCUAACUACGUGCCAGCAGCCGCGGUAAUACGUAGGUGGCAAGCGUUGUCCGGAAUUAUUGGGCGUAAAGCGCGCGCAGGUGGUUUCUUAAGUCUGAUGUGAAAGCCCACGGCUUAACCGUGGAGGGUCAUUGGAAACUGGGAGACUUGAGUGCAGAAGAGGAAAGUGGAAUUCCAAGUGUAGCGGUGAAAUGCGUAGAGAUUUGGAGGAACACCAGUGGCGAAGGCGACUUUCUGGUCUGCAACUGACGCUGAGGCGCGAAAGCAUGGGGAGCAAACAG